ACAGGGAUUGCCCUAGUAACGGCGAGUGAAGCGGCAACAGCUCAAAUUUGAAAUCUGGCGUCUUUGGCGUCCGAGUUGUAAUUUGCAGAGGGCGCUUUGGCAUUGGCAGCGGUCCAAGUUCCUUGGAACAGGACGUCACAGAGGGUGAGAAUCCCGUACGUGGUCGCUAGCCUUUACCGUGUAAAGCCCCUUCGACGAGUCGAGUUGUUUGGGAAUGCAGCUCUAAAUGGGAGGUAAAUUUCUUCUAAAGCUAAAUACUGGCCAGAGACCGAUAGCGCACAAGUAGAGUGAUCGAAAGAUGAAAAGCACUUUGGAAAGAGAGUUAAAAAGCACGUGAAAUUGUUGAAAGGGAAGCGCUUGCAGCCAGACUUGCCUGUAGUUGCUCAUCCGGGUUUUUACCCGGUGCACUCUUCUAUGGGCAGGCCAGCAUCAGUUUGGGCGGUUGGAUAAAGGUCUCUGUCACGUACCUCCUCUCGGGGAGAACUUAUAGGGGAGACGUAAUGCAACCAGCCUGGACUGAGGUCCGCGCAUCUGCUAGGAUGCUGGCGUAAUGGCUGUAAGCGGCCCGUCUUGAAACACGGACCAAGGAGUCUAACAUCUAUGCGAGUGUUUGGGUGUCAAGCCCGAGCGCGUAAUGAAAGUGAACGGAGGUGGGAACCUUUCGGGGUGCACCAUCGACCGAUCCUGAUGUCUUCGGAUGGAUUUGAGUAAGAGCAUAGCUGUUGGGACCCGAAAGAUGGUGAACUAUGCUUGAAUAGGGUGAAGCCAGAGGAAACUCUGGUGGAGGCUCGCAGCGGUUCUGACGUGCAAAUCGAUCGUCAAAUUUGGGCAUAGGGGCGAAAGACUAAUCGAACUAUCUAGUAGCUGGUUCCUGCCGAAGUUUCCCUCAGGAUAGCAGUAACGUUUUCAGUUUUAUGAGGUAAAGCGAAUGAUUAGAGGCCUGGGGGUUGAAACAACCUUCACCUAUUCUCAAACUUUAAAUAUGUAAGAAGUCCUUGUUACUUAAUUGAACGUGGACAGUUGAAUGUAUCGUUACUAGUGGGCCAUUUUUGGUAAGCAGAACUGGCGAUGCGGGAUGAACCGAACGCGGGGUUAAGGUGCCAGAAUAUACGCUCAUCAGACACCACAAAAGGUGUUAGUUCAUCUAGACAGCAGGACGGUGGCCAUGGAAGUCGGAAUCCGCUAAGGAGUGUGUAACAACUCACCUGCCGAAUGAACUAGCCCUGAAAAUGGAUGGCGCUCAAGCGUAUUACCCAUACCCCGCCGCUGGGGCAAGAUUUAAGCCCCAGCGAGUAGGCAGGCGUGGAGGUCCGUGACGAAGCCUUGG
rnacentral:rRNA from 1 species